rnacentral:lncRNA from 1 species
CGCUCCCUUCCUUGGCUCAAACUAAAAAAUUUCCAUCGCAUUUUCCGGACACUCUGACAUCAGGAAGCCCUGAGUUCCAGAAUCAAAAUUAAAUGAAUUAGAGAAGCAUCCGGAGUUGUAUCCAAACGCCAGGGAACACAUCUUUGAAGGGCAUAGGCUGGGACAGACAGAUGGACGCGGGAGGGAGCUCGACUCAGAACAGGCUUCUUGGUCUGCAUGCGUUAUACUGGUUCAGCCUGGGGACAGGAUGGGGACAGUGUGAGCCUGUUUGCGUCCGUGUAACACACACACACACACACACACACACACACACACACAUUAGCCCUUCUCCCACUUUCCAGGGACGAUCCUUUGUUGACCACAGGGCUUUGUGUAUUUACCUGGAAAAACUGGGGUGGGUGGUGAAGGUGACGGCCGCACACGUAUUCACGAAGGGGCGGAAGUCACCUUAAGGUGACAGGGUCCAGGUCCUGACUGAUGGAGCUCGCAAAGGCCAGCAGGGGUCAGUAUUAUCAAUAGUCCGGCUCCUGCUGGUGUGCUGCCUGGGGAGUCCAAAGAGGCGUAAAAAUCCUGCAGAAAUUCCUUGGGAACGCGAGCCAGGUGAGUCUGGACUGUGGAAACGGCACGCGGGGCUGAACGCCGGGCUUCCGGUCUCUGAGUCAGUUGGGUCAUCUCCUGCCCGGGUAGACGCUGGUGUUUCCAUUCCUUGGUUCCCAGAAAAUCGUUAACCACUGAGGUUUUUGUAAUUCUGUGUCGUUCUGACACCUGCAAGCAAGUAGUGCAUGAAGGGUGCAGGGGCACAAAAUAGUUGGGGGGCACCUAAACGGACGUGCCUUCUGUAAGAAAGACUCUGUCUUAUCUUUCUUUCCCCGGAAGCGGGGUGGGGACCCCUAACACUGUCAACACCUCGACCUCUUCCGGUCCUUCUCUCCUUCUGAAGAAUGAUUUUGGGGAGUUCGGUUUCCAAGGAGGAUACACAUAAAUGCACCAAGAACACCCCAAACCCGUGCACGUUGCCUAGAAACGCUCUCUGGGCUGUCCAAACCUGUAGUCGGGAUGAUUUCUUAUACGGCGAGGGAUGUCUUUGUUAUCUGUAUUUGCUAACCUCUCUGCACUGCAUCUGUAUUACGUUUCUGUUUUCUUCUUCUUUUUUUUUAAUGUUUGUUUACUUUGAGAGAGAGAGAGAGACAGAGCAUGAGCUGGGGAGGGGCAGAGAGAGAGGGAGACACAGAAUCCGAAAGCAGGCUCCAGGCUCCCAGCUGUCAGCCCAGAGCCCCACGCGGGGCUCGAACCCAUGAACGGCGAGAGCACGACCUGAGCCGAAGUUGGACACCCAACCGACUGAGCCACCCCGACGCCCCGCAGGUUUCUAUUUUCCAACAACACUUUCUCGCUGGCUUCCCGAGGUGUCUGGGCUCCUUGGAGAGCUCUCACCUUCGCAGGUCAAUAUUCCUUGCAUCUGAGCAAGGUAGCAUUUGCUGUGCACUGAGCAAGAGACCGGUGUCCUUUCAGUGUUUUUAAAACGAAGCCAGCAGGGCAGGAGCACUGAGAUCCAGGAGGGGCAGGGCCACUGAGAUCCAGGAGGGGCAGGGCCACUGAGAUCCAGGCGGGGCAGGGCCACUGAGUUCCAGGAGGGGCAGGACUGCUGAGAUCCAGGCAGGGCAGGGCCCCUGAGAUCCAGAAAGGGCAGGGCCACUGAGAUCCAGGCAGGGCAGGGCCACUGAGAUCCACGCAGGGCAGGGCCACUGAGAUCCAGGAGGGUCACGGCCACUGAGAUCCAACUGGGCAGGACCACUGAGAUCCAGGCAGGGCAGGGCCACUGAGAUCCAGGCAGGGCAGGGCCACUGAGAUCCAGGAGGGUCAGGGCCACUGAGAUCCAAGUGGGCAGGACCACUGAGAUCCAGGCAGGGCAGGACCACUGAGAUCCACGCAGGGCAGGGCCACUGAGAUCCAGGAGGGUCAGGGCCACUGAGAUCCAAGUGGGCAGGACCACUGAGAUCCAGGCAGGGAAGGACCACUGAGAUCCAGGCAGGGCAGGGCCACUCAGAUCCUGGAGGGGCAGGACCCCUGAGAUCCGGGCAGGGCAGGGCCACUGAGAUCCAGGUAGGGAAGGGCUGCUGAGAUCCAGGAGGCGCAGGGCUGCUGAGGUCCAGGAAGUGCAGGGCCCCUGAGAUCCAGGUGGGGCAGGGCUGUGCUCCCUCCAGAGGCUCCAGGGGAGGGUCCUUCCUCCCUCUUCCAGCUUCUGGGCCUCCAGGUGGCCCUGGGUUUGUGGCCGCGUCCCUCCCGUCUGUGCGUCUG